rnacentral:rRNA from 1 species
GCUGGCGGCGUGCUUAACACAUGCAAGUCGAACGGACAGGCCCUGCUUUUGUGGGGUGCUCGAGUGGCGAACGGGUGAGUAACACGUGAGUAACCUGCCCUUGACUUUGGGAUAACUUCAGGAAACUGGGGCUAAUACCGGAUAGGAGCUCCUGCUGCAUGGUGGGGGUUGGAAAGUUUCGGCGGUUGGGGAUGGACUCGCGGCUUAUCAGCUUGUUGGUGGGGUAGUGGCUUACCAAGGCUUUGACGGGUAGCCGGCCUGAGAGGGUGACCGGCCACAUUGGGACUGAGAUACGGCCCAGACUCCUACGGGAGGCAGCAGUGGGGAAUAUUGCACAAUGGGCGGAAGCCUGAUGCAGCAACGCCGCGUGCGGGAUGACGGCCUUCGGGUUGUAAACCGCUUUCGCCUGUGACGAAGCGUGAGUGACGGUAAUGGGUAAAGAAGCACCGGCUAACUACGUG